rnacentral:rRNA from 1 species
UACGUAGGGUGCGAGCGUUGUCCGGAAUUAUUGGGCGUAAAGAGCUUGUAGGUGGUUUGUCGCGUCUGCUGUGAAAAUCCGAGGCUCAACCUCGGACUUGCAGUGGGUACGGGCAGACUAGAUGAUGUAGGGGAGACUGAAUUCCUGGUGUAGCGGUGAAAAUGCGCAGAUUAUCAGGAGGAACACCGGUGGCGAAAGGGCGGGGGUCUCUGGGG